UGCUUGCACGAUUUAAUACUUAGUGGCGGACGGGUGAGUAACGCGUAAGAAUCUACCUUUUGGCGAGGGACAACCACUGGAAACGGUGGCUAAUACCUCAUAUAACUGAGAAGUGAAAGAUGAAAAUCACCAAGAGAUGAGCUUGCGUCUGAUUAGCUAGUUGGUAAGGUAAUGGCUUACCAAGGCGACGAUCAGUAGCUGGUCUGAGAGGAUGAUCAGCCACACUGGGACUGAGACACGGCCCAGACUCC
rnacentral:rRNA from 1 species